UUUCCGUAGGUGAACCUGCGGAAGGAUCAUUAUUGUAUAACCGAGGUGCGAGGGCUGUCGCUGACCCGAAAGGUCGUGCACGCCCGAGUGCCCUCACACACCUCCAUCUCACCCCUAUAUGCCCCACCGCGUGGUUCCCCCUUGACUUGUUCGGAGGGGGGCUUACUUUUUCACACAAACUUUGUAUGCAGUGUAGAAUGUAUUUUUUGUUUUUGCGAUCACGCAAUCAAUACAACUUUCAACAACGGAUCUCUUGGCUCUCGCAUCGAUGAGAACGCAGC
rnacentral:misc_RNA from 1 species